GGGUAUCUCACAUGUGCAUCUGCAAGCCUGGGAGAGAUUUCCUCACCUCACUUCCCAGUGCACCUCAAUGGGCCAAAAUGCCACUGGGUACUGUCAUCCUCACCUGUAGAAAGGGGGAUACUCAGGGACAGGAAGGCUGUCACAGAUGAGAGCUCCUCUUUGUGGAUGGUCGCUAUCAGAGCCCGAGAGACGCCAGGCAUCCUCGCCCAGAGGAUUUGCUCCGCCCCGAAAGGGGCACGGUGGCGACCCACGCAGGGGUCUCUUCCAAGAUGCUCUCAAGCUUCAGCAUCGCUGCUGGCUGCUGGCUGUGGCAACACCGCUGUGCUCACCUUUGACAGAGCUCUCCUGACCAGAAAGGGGGAUGCACAGGAGGAAGACGAUAACAAGUGAGAGCACACUCCCACCACCA
rnacentral:lncRNA from 1 species